AAUAUUUGACAAUGGGGGCAACCCUGAUCCAGCCAUGCCGCGUGUGUGAAGAAGGUCUUCGGAUUGUAUCGCUCUUUAAGGUGGGAGGAGGGGUCUUAGGUUAAUACCUUUUAGUUUUGACGUUACUAACUGAAUAACCACCGGCUAACUCUGUGCGAGCAGCCGCGGUAAUACAGAGGGUGCAAGCGUUAAUCGGAAUUACUGGGCGUAAAGCGCGCGUAGGUGGUUCAGUAAGAUAGGUGUGAAAUCCCCGGGCUUAACCUGGGAACUGCUUUCAUAACUGCUGAGCUAGAGUACGGUAGAGGGUAGUGGAAUUUCCUGUGUAGCGGUGAAAUGCGUAGAUAUAGGAAGGAACACCAGUGGCGAAGGCGACUACCUGGACUGAUACUGACACUGAGGUGCGAAAGCGUGGGGAGCAAAC
rnacentral:rRNA from 1 species